rnacentral:rRNA from 1 species
AUCGAACGCUGGCGGCAGGCCUAACACAUGCAAGUCGAACGAGUGGCGGACGGGUGAGUAAUGUCUGGGAAACUGCCUGAUGGAGGGGGAUAACUAGGGGAAACGGUAGCUAAUACCGCAUACCAUCGGUGGUGCCCAGAAGGGAUUAGCUAGUAGGUGGGGUAAAGGCUCACCUAGGGGACGAUGCCUAGCUGGUCUGAGAGGAUGACCAGCCACACUGGAACUGAGACACGGUCCAGACUCCGACGGUAGGCAGCAGUGGGGAAUAUUGCACAAUGGGCGCAAGCCUGAUGCAGCCAUGCCGCGUGUAUGAAGAAGGCCUUCGGGUUGUAAAGUACUUUCAGCGGGGAGGCGUUACCCGCAGAAGAAGCACCGGCUAACUCCGUGCCAGCAGCCGCGGUAAUUC